AUACUUACCUGGCAGGGGACAGAUCAAGAUCACAAAGGUGGUUUUCACAUGUGAGGCACUCUGGAUAUGCUGACCCCUACGAUUUCCCCAAAUGUGGGAAACUCAACUGCAUAAGUUGUGGUUGUGGGAGACUGCAUUGACAUUUUUUAAUGUCUACUUUUA
ensembl:snRNA U1 U1 spliceosomal RNA